rnacentral:rRNA from 2 species
AGCAGCCGCGGUAAUUCCAGCUCCAAUAGCGUAUAUUAAAGUUGUUGCAGUUAAAAAGCUCGUAGUUGAAUUUCGGGAUCAAGUCGUCGGUCGUGCUCAGGUACGUACUGGCGUCAUUGAUUUCUCCCUUCUGACGAACCAUGAUGUCAUUAAUUUGGUGUUAUGGGAAAUCAGGACUGUUACUUUGAAAAAAUUAGAGUGUUUAAAGCAGGCUCACGCUUGAAUACAUUAGCAUGGAAUAAUGAAAUAGGACGUUCGAUCCUAUUUUGUUGGUUUUAGGAUCAACGUAAUGAUUAAUAGGGAUAGUUGGGGGCAUUAGUAUUCAAUUGUCAGAGGUGAAAUUCUUGGAUUUAUUGAAGACUAACUACUGCGAAAGCAUUUGCCAAGGAUGUUUUCAUUAAUCAAGAACGAAAGUUAGGGGAUCGAAGACGAUCAGAUACCGUCGUAGUCUUAACCAUAAACUAUGCCGACUAGGGAUCGGAUGAUGUUAAUUUUUUAAUGACUCAUUCGGCGCCUUACG